UGGACCUGGUGGACAAGGACUAGGAUUGAGAAAACCUCCAAAAUCUGGUUACGGAGGAGCUGGAUAUGGCCCUGGAGUGGGACCUGGUGGAGUGGGACCUGGAGGAAUAGGGCCUGGAGGAGUAAGGCCUGGUGGAGUGGGACCUGGUGGAGUGGGACCUGGUGGAGUAGGACCUGGUGGAGUAGGACCUGGUGGAGUGGGACCUGGUGGAGUAGGGCCUGGUAGAGUGGGACCUGGUGGAACAGGACCUGGUGGAGUUGGGCUUGGUGGAGUUGGGCCUGGUGGAGUAGGGCCUGGUGGAGUAGGACCUGGUGGAGUGGGACCUGGUGUAGGGCCAGGUGGAGUAGGGCCUGGUGGAGUAGGACCUGGUGGAGUGGGACCUGGAGUAGGGCCUGGUGGAGUAGGGAUUGGUGGAGGUGGCUUUGGUCCAGGAGGAGUUGGACUAGGACCUGGAGGUCCUGGAGGCUAUGGGCCUGGUGGAACUGGCUAUAGACCAGGUGGAAGUGCAGCAGGGACAGGAACCACUGUAGGAGGCCCCGGUGGUGCUGCUGGACCUGGUUUUGGAAGUGUAGCUGGAGGACUUUACCCUGG